rnacentral:rRNA from 1 species
CCUACGGGAGGCAGCAGUGAGGAAUAUUGGUCAAUGGACGAGAGUCUGAACCAGCCAAGUAGCGUGAAGGAUGACUGCCCUAUGGUUUGUAAACUUCUUUUAUAUGGGAAUAAAACGUUCCACGUGUGGGAUUUUGUAUGUACCAUAUGUAUAUGGAUCGGCUAACUCCGUGCCAGCAGCCGCGGUAAUACGGAGGAUCCGAGCGUUAUCCGGAUUUAUUGGGUUUAAAGGGAGCGUAGGUGGAUUGUUAAGUCAGUUGUGAAAGUUUGCGGCUCAACCGUAAAAUUGCAGUUGAAACUGGCAGUCUUGAGUACAGUAGAGGUGGGCGGAAUUCGUGGUGUAGCGGUGAAAUGCUUAGAUAUCACGAAGAACUCCGAUUGCGAAGGCAGUUCACUGGACUGCAACUGACACUGAGGCUCGAAAGUGUGGGUAUCAAACAGGAUUAGAUACCCUAGUAGUC